UACGUAGGGGGCAAGCGUUGUCCGGAAUCAUUGGGCGUAAAGAGCGCGUAGGCGGCCCAGUAAGUCCGCUCUGAAAGUCAGAGGCUCAACCUCUGAAUGCGGGUGGAUACUGCUGGGCUAGAGUCCGGAAGAGGCGAGUGGAAUUCCUGGUGUAGCGGUGAAAUGCGCAGAUAUCAGGAGGAACACCAACGGCGAAAGCACUCUGCUGGGCCGACACUGACACUGAGAGACGAAAGCUAGGGGAGCGAAUGGG
rnacentral:rRNA from 1 species